GGCAGUGGUAGCUCAAUGGUUAAGAUGUUAGUCUACUGAUUGGAAGGUUGUAAGUUCAAAUCCCAGCACUGCCA